CUUUUUGCUCAGCAGAUAGCUCUCGUGUGCGGCAGGCUUAAGCCUGCCGCACACGAGAGCUAUCUGCUCAGCAAAAAG